CCUACGGGGGACUGCAGUGAGGAAUAUUGGUCAAUGGACGAGAGUCUGAACCAGCCAAGUAGCGUGAAGGAUGACUGCCCUAUGGGUUGUAAACUUCUUUUAUAAAGGAAUAAAACGAGGCACGUGUGCCUUGUUGCAUGUAUUUUAUGAGUAAGGAUAGGCUAACUCCGUGCCAGCAGCCGCGGUAAAACGGAGGAGCCGAGCGUUAUCCGGAUUUAUUGGGUUUAAAGGGAGCGUAGAUGGGUUGUUAAGUCAGUUGUGAAAGUUUGCGGCUCAACCGUAAAAUUGCAAUUGAUACUGGCAGUCUUGAGUACAGUUGAGGUAGGCGGAAUUCGUGGUGUAGCGGUGAAAUGCUUAGAUAUCACGAAGAACCCCGAUUGCGAAGGCAGCUUACUAAACUGUGACUGACAUUGAUGCUCGAAAGUGUGGGUAUCAAACAGGAUUAGAUACCCUUGUAGUC
rnacentral:rRNA from 1 species